rnacentral:miRNA from 1 species
CCGGGACCUUGGUCCAGGCGCCCGACCGCGUGGUGCUGGGGUGGAUAAGUCUGAUCUGAGCACCACACGCGCCGGGCGCCUGGA